AUGCGUAUGUUGAGAUGGAUGUGUGUCCACAUGAGGAAGGAUCAAGUCCGGAAUGAUGAUAUACGAGAUAGAGUUGGGGUAGCACCAAGUGAGGAGAAGCUUGUCCAACAUCGUCUAAGAUGGUUUGGGCAUACUCAACGCAGGCCUCCAGAAGCUCCAGUGCAUAGCCGACGGCUAAAGCGUGCGGAGAAUGUCAAGAGAGGGCGGGGUCGACCGAAUUUGACAUGGGAGGAGUCCGUUAAGAGAGACCUGAAGGAUUGGAGUAUCGACAAAGGGCUAGCUAUGGACAGGGGUGCGUGGAAGCUUGCUAUCCAUGUGCCAGAGCCAUGA
rnacentral:rRNA from 1 species